rnacentral:rRNA from 1 species
AAUUGCACAAUGGGCGAAAGCCUGAUGCAGCAACGCCGCGUGAGCGAUGAAGGCCUUCGGGUCGUAAAGCUCUGUCCUCAAGGAAGAUAAUGACGGUACUUGAGGAGGAAGCCCCGGCUAACUACGUGCCAGCAGCCGCGGUAAUACGUAGGGGGCUAGCGUUAUCCGGAAUUACUGGGCGUAAAGGGUGCGUAGGUGGUUUUUUAAGUCAGAAGUGGAAGGCUACGGCUCAACCGUAGUAAGCUUUUGAAACUGAGAAACUUGAGUGCAGGAGAGGAGAGUAGAAUUCCUAGUGUAGCGGUGAAAUGCGUAGAUAUUAGGAGGAAUACCAGUUGCGAAGGCGGCUCUCUGGACUGUAACUGACACUGAGGCACGAAAGCGUGGGGAGCAAACAGGAUUAGAUACCCUGGUAGUCCACGCCGUAAACGAUGAGUACUAGGUGUCGGGGGUUACCCCCCUCGGUGCCGCAGCUAACGCAUUAAGUACUCCGCCUGGGAAGUACGCUCGCAAGAGUG